AUGCCACGUGAAACUGGUACCAAAACACUAAAUAUCUGGGCAAAGCGGCACGCAAAGAAAGGAAAGAAUGAGGCAGCAGCACAACCCGUUCAGAAAGAGGCAGAAGCACGAAAGCCUCCGGUUCUCACACCCGAACAACGAGCAAAGCAGACAGCCUUCGAGAGGGUCCUCUAUGACAUGUCCCACAACGACCGGGUCAUCAAUGACAUCAUUCUGGGCCGCAGGAUAGGUUUCUACGAUCUCAGAGGAGAAAUAGGGACUGGAAAUUUCUCCCAGGUCAAACUUGCUGUUCAUGAGUUGACCAAAGAGCGUGUUGCAGUCAAAAUUCUUAACAAGGCACGUCUCGACAAGAAGUCGCAGAAUUUAUUUGCCUCAGAGAUCAUGUGUAUGGAAAAACUCUCCCAUCCAAACAUCGUUCGUCUGUAUGAAGUGCUUGAGACGGGUAAGCAUGUGUACCUCGCUAUGGAGUACGGCAGCGGAGGCGAUCUGUUCUCACGCAUCACCACCAGAGGACGCCUGUCAGACCUGGAGAGCAAACUCAUCUUUGCCCAGAUCGUCUCAGCCAUUAAAUACAUGCAUGAAAUCAACAUCAUCCACCGUGACCUGAAAGCCGAAAAUAUUUUUUACACCACAUGCUACUGCAUCAAAGUGGGCGACUUUGGUUUUAGUGUGUUUAGUGAGCCCGGCGAAACUCUCACCACGUUUUGUGGUUCCCCUCCAUAUGCAGCUCCCGAGCUGUUCAGGGACAAGAGCUACAUGGGCCGUUAUGUGGACGUCUGGGCGCUGGGCGUCCUCCUCUACUUCAUGGUAACCGCCACCAUGCCUUUCUUCGCUGACAACUUAGGCCGACUGAAGCGCUGCAUCCUGCAGGGGGCAUACAGCAUCCCGUCCUAUGUCCCGGACUCCUGCCAGCUGGCCAUCAAGGGGAUGCUGAGACCUGUACCUGUGGACCGCAGCACACUGUCACAGCUGAUGAUCUGCUCCUGGAUGCAGUGCAUCGAAUACCCCAAACCUUACCCCACAUUCAGCGGGACACCCGGCUAUCUGGCUGACCCUGCCAAGAGCCUGUGUGUGGAGGAGCAGGAGGUAAAGUCAGCUCUAAGCGAGCUGGGUUUAAGCGGGACACAUCUGCAGAAUAACACCUGCACUGACUGCCGCAGCCCGAUCACAGGAGCCUACCGUAUCCUGCUGCACCGCAUCCAGAAGAGGAGAUCCGUGGAGGCAGUGGGAUAUUCAGGUCUCUACCCAGAGGAUUUCAGUAGCAAGAAAUACUGGGCCAACAGCCCGACGGCAAAACACAAUCCUUCCGCAGUGUGUAAUGUCCUGUGA
ensembl:processed_transcript